UAAUACUCCAGCCGUGCAGGUCCAGACUCACUGGCCGCCCUCAGCACAAAAAAGCGUUUAUGCAUGCUCUUGGGUUUGCGCAAGUAACCCACCUUUCUGACAUCAGAGAAGAAGCCCUCGUUGUUAUCUGUGGGGCUAGCCAUGAUGAGAGGUGGUGGAGCUGUUACUGCAGCUAGCAGUCCGCAAGACCCCAGAACAGCCCAGCCAGCUGGAAAAGGCAACCACCUAAAAUAAAAUUCAUGCAACAACAAUUAAAAAAAAAAAGAAAAAAGAAAAAAAAGGCAGCAAAAUAGCUCAGGAUCCUCUUUUGAGAAUGGGACGGGGGAGGGACGGAGGCAGGGUGAGAGCAGCUGUUCAGUGGCAGAGGCAGCUUCCAGCACCAAAUCAGAGUUUGCGUUGCUGUUUAUGCCCAGAUCGCCCUUAGAUGGGUAAGCGCGUCCUUAAAAAGUCCAGUCCCGAUCAGUCCAGACGAAAGUCUCGUCCCAAGAGCAGCCGCCGGGAAAGAGAAACGCAUCUUCCCCUGCGGGGGUCGUGCUCCGCUGGGGCCGGGAGCGGGCGGGGGUCCUUCCUCCGCUCCCUGCGCCCCUUCCCCGGCUCAAGUUUGCCUCCGCGAGUAGCGAUUUCUGUUGCAGAUUAAAUAUCCUCUUGGGGGCGGAGACUGUUUUGCAAAGUGCGGGGUUUGCACCCAAAAAUACUCGUUGCUUCCCCCUCUUCCCUCUCCCCCAAAAAAGCGAAAACGAAGGAGGGAGGGAGGAAAAAAAAAAAAAAAAAGGCCGCCCACAACGCAACCCCCCUCUUCCCCAAAUAUCAGCGCUGAGGUUGCUGCGGCUUCUCCCGCUCGGGCGUGCGGAGGAGGCUGGCGACCCCAUUCAGUCCCAUCUCGUUAGGCAGAGAAAGUGCCAUUUCCACACACGGCGCAGCCCGGCAGCGGCGGGAGGGGAGGCAGCCCGAGUGCCGAAGGAACAUCCUCUCUUCCUCCUCCUCUUCAUUCCAGUCGGCAGCGCCUCAGCGGCCGGCAGCGCGGCCCCCUCCCGUGCCCCAGGCCGGCGGGGAAGCGGGCACCGCCGCGGCGACUCCCUCUCCGCCGGCUUCUUCACGGAGUUUCCCGGCGCCCCGCACCAAAACAGGCGGCGGGGGCCGCGCUCGCCAGUCCAGCCCCCUCCGCCCGCCGCCGCCGCGGCUCAGGCUCACUCCAAGGAGAACAACACGUGACGGCGCCAGAGCGUGGACCAUCCCCGGAGCCGCCGCCGCCGCCGCCAGGCUCCGGGCCAGCCCAGCGCCGCGGCCCCGCGGCCCGCCCCGGCGCUCCCCGCCCUCCCUCCCUGCCCUCAUUCAGCGCGGCCGCGGGGGCCGCCACCGCCAGGCCCGGCCCCGCG
rnacentral:lncRNA from 1 species